CCCUUAGAUGUUCUGGGCCGCACGCGCGCUACACUGGGUGCUUCAGAAUGAUUAUUAGCCUGGUCCGUCGUGGUCUAGGUAAUCACUGAAUGGCACGCCAUACCUGGGAUAGAUUAUUGCAACUAUUAAUCUUCAACGAGGAAUUCCUAGUAGGCACGAGUCAUCAGCUCGUGCCGAUUACGUCCCUGCCCUUUGUACACACCGCCCGUCGCUCCUACCGAUUGGGUGUGCUGGUGAAAUGUUCGGAUCGGCCGUUUGUCGCGGUUUCCGCGUCAUGUGGCUGAGAAGUUCAUUAAACCCUCCCACCUAGAGGAAGGAGAAGUCGUAACA
rnacentral:rRNA from 1 species